rnacentral:rRNA from 1 species
UAGGGAAUAUUGGGCAAUGGAGGGAACUCUGACCCAGCCAUGCCGCGUGCAGGAUGAAGGCGUUAUGCGUUGUAAACUGCUUUUAUAUAGGAAGAAAUAGUCCUUGCGAGGAAAGUUGACGGUACUAUAUGAAUAAGCACCGGCUAACUCCGUGCCAGCAGCCGCGGUAAUACGGAGGGUGCAAGCGUUGUCCGGAUUUAUUGGGUUUAAAGGUGCGUAGGCGGUUUAUAAGUCAGUGGUGAAAGACGGUCGCUCAACGAUUGCAGUGCCAUUGAUACUGGUAGACUUGAGUAUGAUUGAGGUAGCUGGAAUGGAUAGUGUAGCGGUGAAAUGCAUAGAUAUUAUCCAGAACACCAAUUGCGUAGGCAAGUUACUAAGUCAUAACUGACGACUGAGGCACGAAAGUGUGGGUAUCAAACAGGAUUAGAUACCCACGUAGUCCCUGAGCGGGCUGGCAAGGCGCAU